rnacentral:ncRNA from 1 species
AAAGGAAAAAACUUAACCAUCCGCGAGGAUGGGGCGGAAAGCCUACAGGGUCUCCACGAGACAGCCAGGACGCCGAA